AUAGAGACUUUCUUUAAAAAAAGAAAAGUAGGUUCUUCACACCAUUUCUCAGGAAACUGUUGGAGGAUGUUCUUAAGCAUAGCAAAGGAAUAAACCAAGAAAGAGGAAGACAUGGGAUCUAGGAAAUAGGAGAUCUGUCACAAGAGAGUGAUGAUCCAGGGAGGACAGCUGGUCCAGAUUGGGACAGAUCAGAAGGUUGCAUGAGACUGCUACAGAAAGAUGAAAAUUGAUAGGAAAAGAGAUUUAAAUAUUGGUCAGAAAGUUAGGGAUAUAUGCAUAAAAAACUGAGCAAAUUGAGAAACAGGAGGCUGUUUUUAACAUAGUCUAGAAGCAUGUUAUUUAAGGUAGUUAUAAUCAACGCCAAAAUAAUCAGAGGAGGUGGAAGUGAUUGGCUGUGGGGAAGGGAGAAUGGCAAGGCUGGCUGAUUUUAUAACAGAUCUUUAUAGAGCCAUUUGACUCUAGAAACUGCAUAUAUAACUGAUGAAAGUAAAUAACUAAAAAAGCUUGUCCAGCUUGAUUAAAAGUGAUAUUUAUAAUUUUUGCAAAAAUUACUAAGGAAGUUGGAAUAUUUUGACAGAUAUAUUUUUUAAUCUCAAAUCUUCCUAUCAUCUCAACACACAUCAAAACCUUGAGAGCAGAGACCAGUGGUCCUUCCUUUCAGAGUUGGAGAGUCUGGGAUUCUGUUGUCAGACUGUGUUCCCUGAGGCUUUUCUUUGUCUCCUUAAUGACCUUGCACUUAAGUCAGGUCUGUAUACAGGAAAAUCUCUAUCUCAACAGCCAUGGCCUUUUGUGUUCUUCAGGUUGUCCGCACAAACCAGUGUGCAGGAGAAUUUGUCAUCACCUUCCCCCGUGCUUACCACAGCGGCUUCAACCAAGGCUACAACUUUGCCGAGGCUGUCAACUUUUGCACUGCUGACUGGUUGCCUGCUGGGCGCCAGUGCAUUGAGCACUACCGCCGGCUCCGGAGAUACUGCGUCUUCUCCCAUGAGGAGCUUAUCUGCAAGAUGGCUGCCUGCCCAGAGAAGCUAGACCUAAACCUGGCGGCAGCUGUGCAUAAGGAGAUGUUCAUCAUGGUGCAAGAAGAGCGGCGUCUACGAAAGGCCCUGCUGGAGAAGGUGGGGAGAGUACCCCAGAUCAAGCACCCUAUUCUGGUGGAAGUUCGGGGAGGCAGAGGCAGCACCAAGAAGAUGUAGCCUCUACUCUUGGCGUAUAGUGAAAAGAACUAGAUGUAUCUCGAUUGAAAACCACAUACCAUUCUCUGCUAUACCCUUUACCAGCAACCUUGCUUAAGUCGAUUUACUUCAUUGUCAGUUUUCCCCUCUGAAAAAUGGGAUUAUGAUAAUACUUAUCUUUUUGGAUAGUUGA
rnacentral:sRNA from 1 species